GAUGAACGCUGGCGGCGUGCCUAAUACAUGCAAGUCGAGCGAACGGACGAGAAGCUUGCUUCUCUGAUGUUAGCGGCGGACGGGUGAGUAACACGUGGAUAACCUACCUAUAAGACUGGGAUAACUUCGGGAAACCGGAGCUAAUACCGGAUAAUAUUUUGAACCGCAUGGUUCAAAAGUGAAAGACGGUCUUGCUGUCACUUAUAGAUGUAUCCGCGCUGCAUUAGCUAGUUGGUAAGGUAACGGCUUACCAAGGCAACGAUGCAUAGCCGACCUGAGAGGGUGAUCGGCCACACUGGAACUGAGACACGGUCCAGACUCCUACGGGAGGCAGCAGUAGGGAAUCUUCCGCAAUGGGCGAAAGCCUGACGGAGCAACGCCGCGUGAGUGAUGAAGGUCUUCGGAUCGUAAAACUCUGUUAUUAGGGAAGAACAUAUGUGUAAGUAACUGUGCAUAUCUUGACGGUACCUAAUCAGAAAGCCACGGCUAACUACGUG
rnacentral:rRNA from 1 species